rnacentral:lncRNA from 1 species
CACAAAUUACGCAAAUCUUUUACAUUUUCAGUGCUGAGAAGUUGCACUAAUUUGAACGACGAUGGACGUCUAUAAUAAUAAGGUUUAAUAAACUGUCUCCUCAAGUCUCUAUAGCUUUCACAUUGUAAACCAAAUGGAAUUCAUCUUCAGUGAUAUUCAAAGUACAAAGAGUACACUUUCUAUCUAACCUAUUUACCCCAUGAUAACGGCCUACUUCAACA